GAUGCUGAUCCUUAGAGGACCCUGAUGAUUAUUGCAAAACAACCUGAUGGACUGGCCAUUAAUCACUGCUCAGGGCAGCAUUGCUGCUCUCCGUCUGCUGUUGCAUGCCCGACUGACUUCUUGAGAGAACACGGAAAGGAAGCUGCCAGGAGUCUUCAAUGUGACACUUUAAAUCGGCACAUGUGGCAGCAACCAUUACAGUCUUUCUACCACAAUAGGUAUCCUUUAGAGUCUACUAUUCACAGUGAAUUUGUGGUUUUGAUGAUAAAAUGCUGAGAAGCCUUGUCACAAGCUGCUCUUGAUUUGAGUCGGUUGCCUGCUUGAAUGGGGGCAAAGAAAUGGACAAGACAGAAAAAACUAAUUAAUAAUGUAAAAGUCCCUGU